rnacentral:tRNA from 3 species
GCAUUCUUAGCUCAGUUGGAUAGAGCAGUAGCCUUCUAAGCUAACGGUGACAGGUUCGAUUCCUGUAGAAUGUA